AGAGUUUGAUCAUGGCUCAGGACGAACGCUGGCGGCGCGCUUAACACAUGCAAGUCGAGCGAGAACCGGGACUUCGGUCCCGGGGACAGCGGCGAACGGGUGAGUAACACGUGGGUAAUCUGCCCUCGAUUCUGGGAUAGCCCGGGGAAACCCGGAUUAAUACCGGAUAGCCUUUCGUGCUUUCGGGCGUGAAAGAAAAGGUAGCUUCGGCCUCCGAUCGAGGAUGAGCCCGCGGUGGAUUAGCUUGUUGGUGGGGUAACGGCCCACCAAGGCGACGAUCCAUAGCUGGUCUGAGAGGACGAUCAGCCACACUGGGACUGAGACACGGCCCAGACUCCUACGGGAGGCAGCAGUGGGGAAUCUUGCGCAAUGGGCGAAAGCCUGACGCAGCGACGCCGCGUGGGGGAAGAAGGCCUUAGGGUUGUAAACCUCUUUCAGGUGGGACGAAGCCACUCGGGUGAAUAGCCCAGAGGGUGACGGUACCGCCAGAAGAAGCCCCGGCUAACUACGUGCCAGCAGCCGCGGUA
rnacentral:rRNA from 1 species